rnacentral:lncRNA from 1 species
UGAUGAUGGGCGGGAUCCCGACCGUGACCAUGGGGGUGUUGUUGCCGUCGCCGCCGUCCUCGGAGGCCCUCCCGUAGCUCAUCUUGCCGUGCAGCAUGGCGUCGGUGAUGUGGGUACUGUGCAGGGCGGCAUGCUGCUGGUGCUUGUCGUCGUCGAUGUUGAACUCGUGCUCGAGGUCGUCGAUGUCCUCCUCGUCCUCGUCGCCCUCCACCCUGGGGCUCCCCUUGAGGCGCUUGUAGCGGGUCUUGCACUGGGGGCAGUUCUGGGUGCCCUCCCG